rnacentral:rRNA from 1 species
UUUAGACUUAAGAGCUAUUCAAAUAAGGCACAGCUUAUUUGUAAUAGGACACAACCUACAACAUAGGGUAAAUGAGAGUGACCUAAAUAAAGUGGGCCUAAAAGCAGCCACCUUCAGAAAAGCGUUAAAGCUUAACUACCUUCACUCAUAAUGCCUAAAAUCUCCACUAACCCUUCAUUACUACUGAACAAUUUUAUACUCAUAUAAAAGCUAUCAUGCUAGAACUAGUAACAAGAAACUGCUUUUCUCCUAAAUGUAAACAUAAACCAAAAUAGACCAUCUAUUGGUUAUUAACGUAAAUGCUAAACUGUAGCAACACUCACUAGAAAAUCCUAUAAACCCCAACGUUAACCUUACACCAGAACAUUACAGGAAAGAUUAAAAGAAAAAGAAGGAACUCGGCAAAUUUUAGCCUCGCCUGUUUACCAAAAACAUCGCCUCUUGACAAACAUAAGAGGUCCAGCCUGCCCAGUGACAAAGUUCAACGGCCGCGGUACCCUAACCGUGCAAAGGUAGCACAAUCACUUGUUCUUUAAAUGAGGACUCGUAUCAACGGCACUACGAGGGCUAUACUGUCUCCUUUUUCUAAUCAGUGAAACUGAUCUCCCCGUGAAGAAGCGGGGAUUGUAAUAUAAGACGAGAAGACCCCAUGGAGCUUUAAACUCACCAUGUACCCCUGUGCUCCCAUACCCCCAGACACAACAGACCUACAUGUUAGUUUUAGGUUGGGGUGACCACGGAGUAUAACUUAACCUCCAUAGCAAAUGGGCUAAUACCCUUAUCCACGAGACACAACUCUAAGAAUUACUAAACUAAUGCUUACGACCCGAUAUUCGAUCCAUGAACCAAGUUACCCUGGGGAUAACAGCGCAAUCUACUUCAAGAGCCCAUAUCGACAAGUAGGUUUACGACCUCGAUGUUGGAUCAGGGUAUCCCGGUGGUGCAGCCG